GCUUACGGCCAUACCACCCUGAGAACGCCCGAUCUCGUCUGAUCUCGGAAGCUAAGCAGGUUCGGGCCUGGUUAGUACUUGGAUGGGAGACCGCCUGGGAAUACCAGGUGCUGUAAGCU
ensembl:rRNA 5S_rRNA 5S ribosomal RNA